rnacentral:rRNA from 1 species
GACGAACGCUGGCGGCGUGCUUAACACAUGCAAGUCGAACGGUAAGGCCUUCGGGUACACGAGUGGCGAACGGGUGAGUAACACGUGGGUGAUCUGCCCUGCACUUCGGGAUAAGCCUGGGAAACUGGGUCUAAUACCGGAUAGGACCAUGGACUUCACGGUUUGUGGUGGAAAGCUUUUGCGGUGUGGGAUGGGCCCGCGGCCUAUCAGCUUGUUGGUGGGGUAAUGGCCUACCAAGGCGACGACGGGUAGCCGGCCUGAGAGGGUGUCCGGCCACACUGGGACUGAGAUACGGCCCAGACUCCUACGGGAGGCAGCAGUGGGGAAUAUUGCACAAUGGGCGCAAGCCUGAUGCAGCGACGCCGCGUGGGGGAUGACGGCCUUCGGGUUGUAAACCUCUUUCAGUAGGGACGAAGCGCAAGUGACGGUACCUACAGAAGAAGCACCGGCCAACUACGUGCCAGCCGCCGCAGUAA